GACGAACGCUGGCGGCGUGCCUAAUACAUGCAAGUAGAACGCAGAAGCAGGAGCUUUGUUCUCUGGAUGAGUUGCGAACGGGUGAGUAACGCGUAGGUAACCUGCCUGGUAGCGGGGGAUAACUAUUGGAAACGAUAGCUAAUACCGCAUAAUAGUAGAUGUUGCAUGACAUUUGCUUGAAAGGUGCAAUUGCAUCACUACCAGUUGGGCCUGCGUUGCAUUAGGUAGUUGGUGGGGUAACGGCUCACUAAGGCGACGAUACAGAGCCGACCUGAGAGGGUGGUCAGCCACACUGGGAGGGUGACACGGCCCAGACGGCCUCGGGAGGGAGCAGGAGGGAAACUGCGGGAAUGGGCGGAAGGCUGACCGAGCAACGCCGCGGGAGUGAAGAAGGUUUUCGGGUGGGAAAGGUCUGUUGUAAGGGAAGAACGAGCGUGAGAGUGGAAAGUUCACACUGUGACGGUAACUUAUCAGAAAGCGACGGCUAACUACGUG
rnacentral:rRNA from 1 species